rnacentral:rRNA from 1 species
UGCCACCUGAAACCAUAGGUGGUAAGUCCUGCCCAAUGAUAUUAUUGAAUGGCCGCGGUAUCCUGACCGUGCAAAGGUAGCAUAAUCACUUGCCUAUUAAUUGUAGGCUAGAAUGAAUGGAUAAACGAAGUAUCAGCUGUUUCUAAUAUUUAACCAAAAACUAAUCUUCCAGUGAAGAAGCUGAAAUAAAAUUACAGGACAAGAAGACCCUAUAGAGCUUUAUUUUGAUAUAAUUAAUACAAAAAUAUACAAAAUUCAGUUGGGGCGACUAAGGAAAUAACCAUCCUGAAAAAUAAAGAAUAACAAUUCAAUAAAAGAUCCUUAAAUAAAGAUCAAAGAAAUUAGCUACCUUAGGGAUAACAGGCUAAUUUUUCUAGAGAGUUCAAAUCGAUAGAAAAGAUUGGCACCUCGAUGUUGGCUUAGGAAACCUAUAAGAUGCAGCAAUCCUAUGAGGGGGUUUGUUCAACCCAUAAAUUCCU